GGGCCUAAUGGUUAAGGCGUUGCAUUUCGGUUCAGACCACUGCAAAGAUUGGGAGUUCGACUCUUCCCGGGGUCG